GGCCGGGUCGUCUAAUGGUAGGACAUCGGUUGUCACUUGUGACAUUUCCCAAUGAAUGCAGGUUCGAUUCCUGCCCCGACCA